UCCAGCUUAUCGCUGGCGGUCUCCUACGAGUCCCCGGCAUAAUCCGCUGGCAACAUAGGACAAGGGUUGCGCUCGUUGCGGGACUUAACCCAACAUCUCACGACACGAGCUGACGACAGCCAUGCACCACCUAUCGCCGGCCCUUACGGACACCGUAUCUCUACGGCUUUUCCGGCGUAGUUCAACCCAGGUAAGGUUCUUCGCGUCGCAUCGAAUUAAGCAACAUGCUCCGCCGCUUGUGCGGGCCCCCGUCAAUUUCUUUGAGUUUUAGCCUUGCGGCCGUACUCCCCAGGCGGGGCACUUAAUGCGUUAGCUACGGCACGGAGACCGUCGAUAGGUCCCCACACCUAGUGCCCAACGUUUACGGCGUGGACUAC
rnacentral:misc_RNA from 1 species